rnacentral:rRNA from 1 species
UGGGGAAUUUUGCACAAUGGGCGCAAGCCUGAUGCAGCGACGCCGCGUGAGGGAUGAAGGCCUUCGGGUUGUAAACCUUUUUCGCUCAUGGUCAAGCCGCAGCUUUGGGUUGUGGUGAGGGUAGUGGGUAAAGAAGCGCCGGCUAACUACGUGCCAGCAGCCGCGGUAAUACGUAGGGCGCGAGCGUUGUCCGGAAUUAUUGGGCGUAAAGGGCUUGUAGGCGGUUGGCCGCGUCUGCCGUGAAAUCCUCUGGCUUAACUGGGGGCGUGCGGUGGGUACGGGUUGACUUGAGUGCGGUAGGGGGGACUGGAAUUCCUGGUGUAACGGUGAAAUGCGUAGAUAUAUGGAGGAACACCAGUGGCGAAGGCGACUCUCUGGUCUGUAACUGACGCUGAGGCUCGAAAGCGUGGGUAGCAAACAGG